AAAAUUAAGAGAAAAAAAGAUUAAAUAAAUAGCCCCUUUCUUUUACUUUUUAUACUUUUUAAGAAUUGUAUUUUAUGAAAAGCGGGUGUAACUCGUGCCUAAUCUUGCUUCACUCAAUGUGGUUUGCUCUAAGGGCAAAAAUGCCUGUUCUCUGGUGCUUUGCAUUUUAGGUUUAACAUUGCUAGCUUAAACCAGGAAAAGGACUUGCUAAUGGACUAAUGACUCUAAAUCCCUCUUUAUUUCAAAAUAUAAUAAAUGAA
rnacentral:misc_RNA from 1 species